AAGUUUUAGAUGAAUCUGUGUAUCUGGUGACAAUAUGAUGCAAGUAUCUAAAAAGGCUACCAGAUUCUUUGUUCCCAAAUUUUCUGUCCCUUGUGUUCUUCCACUUAAAUUUUGACACAUGUUCUUUUAUUUAAUUUUAAAAUUAAUUAGUGUUAAGUAAGAGAUUAUGUGUUAAAAUUUAAGUGGAUAGACACAAAGGAAUAGAGAAUCUGCUCUCAUCUAAAAAGAUGUGUUUUGCAAUUAAAAAUUGUAGAUAUUGCUGGGGAAGGAUCCAGCUUGUUCUUUCAGGGGAUGAAUUUGGUCCUUUUAAGUUAAAUCUCUGUGAAUUAUUAUAUUACUAAUAAUUUUGACACCAACACUUUAACACUUAUCUUUUAGUUUCAUUAGAGCCCCACUCACAGCAUAUAUUAAGUUAUUAACUAUUGUGCCGACCAUAUAAUUUUAAAUCACUCCAUCUUUGUAAGGCUAAUUAUUAUUUAUACUCGUUAUUGGUAGAAUUUUUGAUCGAAUCACACAACAAUUUCACAGAAAAUAGACGAAAGACGAAAAAUAAAAUAUGCAUGAUAUGAUCAGGUUAGGGACCGUUUGUUUAGUGCUGAAUACAUUUGAAUAGUUAAAUCGGUCAGUCAUUAAGUGCGUUUGUUUUGAAAAAAAAUCAUCUGAAUAGCUG
rnacentral:lncRNA from 1 species